CCACACAGACACACAAAAACAGACACACACAAAAACAGACACACAUACAAACGCGGGAAUUAAACAAAGACAAGGACACUCACAGCAGAAGAAUUUCCACCACAGGCUAAUUGGGGAAGUUAUACAAGCGGAAAAGCCAAGGAGCUGAGGAAAACACAUCAGUGUGAAGAAUCACGGGCGGACACGGUUGCACAAGGAAAAAAAACUGAGCCUGGCGGUAAUAUAGAGCAUCGCACAACAGGCUGUUGACCUUCAAAACAACACAACCAUCAACACCUUGUCAGAACUACAGUGUGUGCCUGUGAGUGCAGAGUUGCCCUUUAAGCUCAUUGUCAUCAGAUUGUCCAGUUUUGUCACUGGUGCCGCAGGCAGGCUCGAAACACCAUGAAAUAUCAAGAGUCCUCUUAAGUCUGUCAGGUUUGAUCAGUCAACAAGGAAAGAGACCUAGAGGACUGACCAGAAAACGCACACAAACAGAAUGUCAACUUUCCAAUUAUUGGACCAACAAAAACAACAUAAGUCGGACGGAGAAAUGUGAUUUGUGGAAACGGCGACAUAGUCACCAACAUUCUUGUCACAACUAGUGCCCAACUACCCAAAUGCAGAGGUUACUUGGUUCAAAUACAAAAAUGGUCUUUCUUACACAGUGGAGUGACAAGAAUGAGUUUAAACCAGGAGGAGCCAUCCAAAUCAUGACAGUUCUUUGCUGAUUGGGUCUUACCAGUCAUGGGAGGUAAUGCAGAGAUGUAGUUCACCUUCGCCUCCUAGAUUAUAAAAGCUGGCCCUUGUGCUCACUUCCUCUUUCUCUUCCAACUCAUAUUUGGCUCACAUGCAACACCUUCACAGCACACAUGACACUCAUGCAUACGUUGCUUUCAUGAUAAACUUGCUUAUUCCCACACCCCACUGUUUUACUUGUUCCCUUUUAUUUUUUACUUUUCACAUUCCCUGAGCCAGUCUGUGAAAGGAGGAAUACCUGUAGAUUUCACAAACACCUGUGAUAGCUUUCUGUGAGUUCACAGCUGUGCUUCACAAUACUGGUAACCAAGGCAUUUUGUAAACGUAUGUAUUUGAGGUUUGUAAGAUGACACAAAGAUAUUUCUGCUGUAACAAAUUGUUCCCCAAGAUAUGCAGUCCAAAUCAAAAUGACUUGGCUGGAUUAAAUAAAUAAACAGGACAUCAUGACCUGU